rnacentral:rRNA from 1 species
GUGGGGAAUAUUGGACAAUGGGCGCAAGCCUGAUCCAGCAAUGCCGCGUGGGUGAAGAAGGUCUUCGGAUCGUAAAGCCCUUUCGACAGGGACGAUGAUGAUGGUACCUGUAGAAGAAGCCCCGGCUAACUUCGUGCCAGCAGCCGCGGUAAUACGAAGGGGGCUAGCGUUACUCGGAAUUACUGGGCGUAAAGGGCGCGUAGGCGGCUCUGUUAGUCAGGCGUGAAAUUCCUGGGCUUAACCUGGGGACUGCGCUUGAUACUGCAGGGCUUGAGGCCGAGAGAGGGUGGUGGAAUUCCCAGUGUAGAGGUGAAAUUCGUAGAUAUUGGGAAGAACACCGGUGGCGAAGGCGACCACCUGGCUCGGUUCUGACGCUGAGGCGCGACAGCGUGGGGAGCAAACAGGAUUAGAAACCCUAGUAGUCC